GUAAAAAGGUAUAUCCAGAGUAGAAGAGAUCCACUAUGGUGUCUCCUCGUGUUAUGACGUCCUAUGAUUAAGGGUGUGGCACCUUCUGGAAGCAGCCAGACAUGAACCGGUCUGAGGGAAAGCAACGCUGCUGCUUUUGUCUGCAUGUCUUCUCUCCUUGCCUAUGAAUAUGUCUACCCUGUUGCUGCUGCCGCCAUCCUGCUCCUUCGCUGCCAUCGGAAACCAGCUUCUUCAGCCUCCUCUAGGAAUUCAUCACCAGAUUAAGACUGCUGAGGCAUCCAGCCAUGUGGGCUGAGCAAGCAUCAGGUUCUCAGCCUCUCUAGUACACAUUCGACCAUUGCUGGACUACACAACUCAAACCCUGCAAGCCAAUCUAUAAACUCUUUUUGUAAUAAAUAUUCAUUCUGCUAGUCCUGUUGCUCUAGAGAGCCUUGACAAAUACAAAAUAUCAAACUUGG